AAAUUGAAGAGUUUGAUCAUGGCUCAGAUUGAACGCUGGCGGCAGGCCUAACACAUGCAAGUCGAACGGUAGCACAGAGAGCUUGCUCUCGGGUGACGAGUGGCGGACGGGUGAGUAAUGUCUGGGAAACUGCCUGAUGGAGGGGGAUAACUACUGGAAACGGUAGCUAAUACCGCAUAACGUCGCAAGACCAAAGAGGGGGACCUUCGGGCCUCUUGCCAUCAGAUGUGCCCAGAUGGGAUUAGCUAGUAGGUGGGGUAACGGCUCACCUAGGCGACGAUCCCUAGCUGGUCUGAGAGGAUGACCAGCCACACUGGAACUGAGACACGGUCCAGACUCCUACGGGAGGCAGCAGUGGGGAAUAUUGCACAAUGGGCGCAAGCCUGAUGCAGCCAUGCCGCGUGUAUGAAGAAGGCCUUCGGGUUGUAAAGUACUUUCAGCGGGGAGGAAGGCGUUGUGGUUAAUAACCACAGCGAUUGACGUUACCCGCAGAAGAAGCACCGGCUAACUCCGUGCCAGCAGCCGCGGUAAUACGGAGGGUGCAAGCGUUAAUCGGAAUUACUGGGCGUAAAGCGCACGCAGGCGGUCUGUCAAGUCGGAUGUGAAAUCCCCGGGCUCAACCUGGGAACUGCAUUCGAAACUGGCAGGCUAGAGUCUUGUAGAGGGGGGUAGAAUUCCAGGUGUAGCGGUGAAAUGCGUAGAGAUCUGGAGGAAUACCGGUGGCGAAGGCGGCCCCCUGGACAAAGACUGACGCUCAGGUGCGAAAGCGUGGGAGCAAACAGGAUUAGAUACCCUGGUAGUCCACGCCGUAAACGAUGUCGACUUGGAGGUUGUGCCCUUGAGGCGUGGCUUCCGGAGCUAACGCGUUAAGUCGACCGCCUGGGGAGUACGGCCGCAAGGUUAAAACUCAAAUGAAUUGACGGGGGCCCGCACAAGCGGUGGAGCAUGUGGUUUAAUUCGAUGCAACGCGAAGAACCUUACCUACUCUUGACAUCCAGAGAACUUUCCAGAGAUGGAUUGGUGCCUUCGGGAACUCUGAGACAGGUGCUGCAUGGCUGUCGUCAGCUCGUGUUGUGAAAUGUUGGGUUAAGUCCCGCAACGAGCGCAACCCUUAUCCUUUGUUGCCAGCGGUUAGGCCGGGAACUCAAAGGAGACUGCCAGUGAUAAACUGGAGGAAGGUGGGGAUGACGUCAAGUCAUCAUGGCCCUUACGAGUAGGGCUACACACGUGCUACAAUGGCGCAUACAAAGAGAAGCGACCUCGCGAGAGCAAGCGGACCUCAUAAAGUGCGUCGUAGUCCGGAUUGGAGUCUGCAACUCGACUCCAUGAAGUCGGAAUCGCUAGUAAUCGUAGAUCAGAAUGCUACGGUGAAUACGUUCCCGGGCCUUGUACACACCGCCCGUCACACCAUGGGAGUGGGUUGCAAAAGAAGUAGGUAGCUUAACCUUCGGGAGGGCGCUUACCACUUUGUGAUUCAUGACUGGGGUGAAGUCGUAACAAGGUAACCGUAGGGGAACCUGCGGUUGGAUCACCUCCUUACCUUAAAGAA
rnacentral:rRNA from 1 species